UACGUAGGGUGCGAGCGUUAAUCGGAAUUACUGGGCGUAAAGCGUGCGCAGGCGAUUAUUUAAGACAGGCGUGAAAGCCCCGGGCUUAACCUGAGAGGUGCGCUUGUGACUGGAUAGCUAGAGUGUGGCAGAGGGAGGUGGAAUUCCACGUGUAGCAGUGAAAUGCGUAGAGAUGUGGAGGAACACCGAUGGCGAAGGCAGCCCCCUGGGCUAGCACUGACGCUCAGGCACGAAAGCGUGGGGAGCAAACAGG
rnacentral:rRNA from 1 species